rnacentral:other from 1 species
UUGUAUCUGUUGUGUUCGUGAUUGGUUAUAUUCCCUGAGCCGAUUAAAAACAACAUUAGGAAAUGAGAUAGCUGACUAUUGUGCAAGCCCGCCUUGAAGUGGGAAACCUACGGGAGGCUUCGAAAUUCCGCCUUGAGCCAGAUGGUUUCAGGUUGCUUCCAACACGGCACAAUGGACUUUUA